rnacentral:misc_RNA from 1 species
AACUGAAUUUUAGAUAAUUUGACUCUACAUCAACUUACAAACAAUUCGGGGGAUGCCAGAACACUAGAUAAAGCACAAUCAGUGAACAAUGAUAAUAAUAAUAAAUAAUAAUAAUAAUUACAGAGACAACCUGAAGCCGUCAUAAACUUUGAAUUUCUAGGACAGUUUUGUUGACUAUUGGUGUGUGUAAUGCAGUUUCACAAGAGAUCAUAAUUAGGAUUGUGUUAAUCAUGGAGAUUACAGUUGAAACUUUCUUGCAAGAAGCAUAUUCUAAAUAUUUCCUAGAUAAAUCCCAAAGGCAGAGGGAAAUCAGAAAUUGAGUCAUAAUAUUCCAUUAUUUACAUCCGCACAUAUGAUUAAGAAAAUGACAUCUCAUGCUUUCUUCACUAAGUUGAUAGAGUUGAAUUCAAUGCAUUAGCUUCAUGCUGGCUGCAAAUUACUACUAUGCGAAGACACCAUUGUCAUUGAAAGACCAGCAAGUUUAAGGAUGAAA